rnacentral:rRNA from 1 species
AACGAACGCUGGCGGCAGGCCUAACACAUGCAAGUCGAGCGAACCCUUCGGGGUUAGCGGCGGACGGGUUAGUAACGCGUGGGAAUAUACCCUUUGGUACGGAAUAGCCUCGGGAAACUGAGAGUAAUACCGUAUGUGCCCUUCGGGGAAAGGAUUAUCGCCAAAGGAUUAGCCCGCGUUGGAUUAGAUAGUUGGUGGGGUAAGUGGCCUACCAAGUCUACGAUCCAUAGCUGGUUUGAGAGGAUGAUCAGCAACACUGGGACUGAGACACGGCCCAGACUCCUACGGGAGGCAGCAGUGGGGAAUCUUAGACAAUGGGCGCAAGCCUGAUCUAGCCAUGCCGCGUGGACGAUGAAGGCCUUAGGGUUGUAAAGUCCUUUCAGAUGGGAAGAUAAUGACGGUACCAUCAGAAGAAGCCCCGGCUAACUCCGUG